rnacentral:misc_RNA from 1 species
GAUGAAGAACGUAGCGAAAUGCGAUAAGUAAUGCGAAUUGCAGAAUUCAGUGAGUCAUCGAAUCUUUGAACGCACAUUGCGCCCUGUGGUAUUCCGCAGGGCAUGCCUGUUCGAGCGUCAUUUCAACCCUCAAGCUCUGCUUGGUGUUGGGCCCUGCCCGCUGCGGCCGGCCCUAAAGACAGUGGCGGUGCCGCCUGGCCCUGAGCGUAGUACAUCUCUCGCUCCAGUGCCCGGUGGUAGCCUGCCAGAACCCCAACUCUCGUGGUUGACCUCGGAUCAGGUAGGGAUACCCGCUGAACUUAAGCAUAUCAAUAAGCGGAGG